UACAGAGGUCUCGAGCGUUGUUCGGAUUCAUUGGGCGUAAAGGGCGCGUAGGCGGCGGGGUAAGUCUGGUGUGAAAUCUCGGAGCUCAACUCCGAAACUGCACUGGAUACUGCUCUGCUAGAGGGCUGGAGAGGAGAUCGGAAUUCACGGUGUAGCAGUGAAAUGCGUAGAUAUCGUGAGGAAGACCAGUGGCGAAGGCGGAUCUCUGGACAGCGCCUGACGCUGAGGCGCGAAGGCUAGGGGAGCGAACAGG
rnacentral:rRNA from 1 species